rnacentral:pre_miRNA from 9 species
CCUCGAAAGCGUAAAAGUUAAUUCAAAUUUGUAUGGAGUUUGAAACGUUUAACUACGUUUACCGUUAGGGGCGCUGUUCCAACUCCAUACAAGUUUGAGUUAACUUUUACGCUAUCGA